GUCGAACGAAGCGCCUUGCCGGAACCCCUUCGGGGAGGAAGGCAUUGCGAUUGAGUGGCGGACGGGUGAGUAACGCGUGGGCAACCUGCCCCAUACAGGGGGAUAACAGUUAGAAAUGACUGCUAACACCGCAUAAGCGCACAGGGCCGCAUGACCCGGUGUGAAAAACUCCGGUGGUAUGGGAUGGGCCCGCGUCUGAUUAGCCAGUUGGCGGGGUAACGGCCCACCAAAGCGACGAUCAGUAGCCGACCUGAGAGGGUGACCGGCCACAUUGGGACUGAGACACGGCCCAAACUCCUACGGGAGGCAGCAGUGGGGAAUAUUGCACAAUGGGGGGAACCCUGAUGCAGCGACGCCGCGUGAGCGAAGAAGUAUCUCGGUAUGUAAAGCUCUAUCAGCAGGGAAGAAAAAUGACGGUACCUGACUAAGAAGCCCCGGCUAACUACGUGCCAGCAGCCGCGGUAAUACGUAGGGGGCAAGCGUUAUCCGGAUUUACUGGGUGUAAAGGGAGCGCAGGCGGCGCGGCAAGUCUGAUGUGAAAGCCCGGGGCUCAACCCCGGGACUGCAUUGGAAACUGUCGCGCUCGAGUGUCGGAGAGGUAAGUGGAAUUCCUAGUGUAGCGGUGAAAUGCGUAGAUAUUAGGAGGAACACCAGUGGCGAAGGCGGCUUACUGGACGACAACUGACGCUGAGGCUCGAAAGCGUGGGGAGCAAACAGGAUUAGAUACCCUGGUAGUCCACGCCGUAAACGAUGAU
rnacentral:rRNA from 1 species